GACGAACGCUGGCGGCGUGCUUAACACAUGCAAGUCGAACGGAAAGGCCCUGCUUUUGUGGGGUGCUCGAGUGGCGAACGGGUGAGUAACACGUGAGUAACCUGCCCUUGACUUUGGGAUAACUUCAGGAAACUGGGGCUAAUACCGGAUAGGAGCUCCUGCUGCAUGGUGGGGGUUGGAAAGUUUCGGCGGUUGGGGAUGGACUCGCGGCUUAUCAGCUUGUUGGUGGGGUAGUGGCUUACCAAGGCUUUGACGGGUAGCCGGCCUGAGAGGGUGACCGGCCACAUUGGGACUGAGAUACGGCCCAGACUCCUACGGGAGGCAACAGUGGGGAAUAUUGCACAAUGGGCGGAAGCCUGAUGCAGCAACGCCGCGUGCGGGAUGACGGCCUUCGGGUUGUAAACCGCUUUCGCCUGUGACGAAGCGUGAGUGACGGUAAUGGGUAAAGAAGCUCCGGCUAACUACGU
rnacentral:rRNA from 1 species